rnacentral:sRNA from 1 species
AGGUGUGUCCAUGGCGGCGCUUGACCUGCGAGCGGAGCUGGAUUCGCUGCUCUUGCAGCUGCUUGGGGACCUGGAGGAGCUGGAGGGGAAACGAGCGGUGCUGAACGCCCGGGUGGAAGAGGUAGGCGCCUGGGGCGGGCAGGAGGGUACACGGGCGUAAACUGAGUCUCACCGCUCUCCUCUCCCUGCAGGGCUGGCUCUCGCUCGCCAAGUCCCGCUACGCGAUGGGCGCCAAGUCGGUGGGGCCCCUGCAGUAUGCUUCCUACAUGGAGCCCCAGGUCUGCCUCCACGCCAGGUGAGGAAGCUUCCAUGCUGGGCUGGGUGGGCGGGCGCUUUCUAGGCCCGGGCUGCCAAAGCUCCAUCCUCCCUUCUCGUCCUUCAGCGAGGCCCAGGAGGGACUCCAGAAGUUCAAGGUGGUGAGAGCUGGUGUCCACGCCCCAGAGGAGGGGGGGCCUCGCGAAGCAGGUGAGCCCCCUCUUCCUUCUGCAGAACCCCUUCCCAAUGUCAAAGACAAAAUGCAAAUUAUGGAGAUGAUUUAAAUUAGGUUUUUGCGAUAAGAGAGAGCAUCCCAGAGCUGAAGAACAGAAUGUUUUUGUAGGGUGGUUUUGCCUUAGACUUUUAUAGGAAGUAGAGAAAUUGUUGGUGAGUUGCUUUACACUGGGAAUAGUUUUACAAUCACAUAAGUUUCAGUCAGCUGAACAGAAAAUAUUCAUCUGUGUGUCUAGCUAGUUUCAGAGGGACAAACUUCUAAUCCCAGUUAAUCAUUCCUGAGACAAAGAAUGGGGAGUUGGAACGUCUAUGUCUGGUCUGUUGGCAUGUUCAGGCGCAAUGGGUAAGGUCAGUGUCACAGGCAAACAGGGUCAUCAGUGGGUCUUACAGGAGUCACGGGAAAGAGUGGACAAACAGUCUCAUCUGAAUCACAAGGGGAAAGGCUGUAUUUUGUGGUAAGCUGUUUCCCGGAACCCCAAAGUUGGAAUUUUCCAACCAACAGUGUUUUAUAGAAUCAUAAGCUCAGAUCAAGCUCAACAUUGUCACCAAGAUGAUAAAGGUCAGGGAGUAAGAUCCCAGCCUCCUCCAACCUUUCUUUCCUCAGCUCUGCGGAGGCGCAAGGGCCCCACUAAGACCCCAGAACCGGAGUCCUCUGAGGCCCCUCAGGACCCCCUGAACUGGUUUGGAAUCCUAGUUCCUCACAGUCUACGUCAGGCUCAAGCAAGCUUCCGGGAUGGUGAGUGGACUCUGUCGUUUGGCUCUGUGGCCCUCAGACCCUCUUUCCACAGGGAAUAGUUGAGCACUGCUGCCAUGGCUGGGGUUAGUCUAUGAAAGGCUUUGCAGGUUUUUCUCCAUCCAAACUUCCGUUGUACACCCAUUGUUUUUUCCAAAAGCAUUUACUGGUUGUUGGCAGCAUUCGGGUUCAUGCUAGCUGCUGGGGAUACAGCAGGGAACAAAAGAGACAAACACCUUUCAUGUAAUGUUUAGAGGCAGAGAAAGGCAAUGUGCAAAUAAGUAGGCCCUUAACAUAAGUCAGGCUGUGAAAAUUGUUAUGAAAAACACAUAAUGGAGUGGGACAGGAGUGGGCCAGGGGAGGUCUCUCUGAGGAGGUGAAGGAAAAGCUUUGUGGGUGAUUUUGGGAAACAGUGCUCUAGAUGGAGGAACCAGCCAGGACAAAAGCCCUGAAGCCAGCUAUAUCUGGUAUGUGCCGAGGCCGGUGGCCUAGAGUGGAGUCAGGUGACGUAAGCCCUGAUGAAGACUGUGGGAUCCACAGAGAGGCUCUGAGCAGAGGAUGGUGCAAUUGGCUGUGCAGGGUCACAGGAAUGCUUGGGUGCUGGGUGGGGACACAGAGCAGAGGGAGGAAGCAGGCGUCAGGGAGCAGCCAGUGUGAGAAGCAGAUAGCGUCACUGGAGGAGGAGGUAAGUGGUGGGAACCUGCACAGGUUUUAAGAAUAGAAGCCCCAGAAUUUGCUGACAGAUAAGAUAUGGGAGUAAGGGAAGGAAAGGAGUCCAGGAGAGCCCGCGGUCUCCACCUAGAACCCCUGGGAGGAUGGAGCGACCCUCACCCCCUGGGGGCAGCUGAGAGGAUUCCGGAAGGCAGGAGUUGGUGUGGUCUGUGUGGUGUCCACUGACGCCCUGCUGGAGAGUCUCAGUGGGCACUUGGGCACAUAUAUCUGGAGUUUGGGAGAGGCCUGGGCUGGAGAGAGAUUUGGGAGUCCACUGCAUAGCACUGGUGUUUAAAUCCCAAAGUUUUUGACACAAACACUGGUUUAAAGCUGAGAUAGGAUGAGAUCAGCAGAUGGCCUAGGGAGGUGAGGGAGAGGAGGCGAGAAGCCAGUCAAGGAAACUGAGGAGCAACACCUGGGGGCAGGUGUCCUGGAGGCCAGGAAGAGAAAGUGUUUCCUGGAGCGAGUGAUCCAAUGUGUGGUUAGCCCUGCUGCUGAAUAGGAGGCCGAAGACGAGAGCUGCCCGGAGGACUGGGCAGCAGCUGUUCCAGCAGAGACAUCAGUAAAAGCCAUCUAGAGGUGGAUCCAGAGUAUGGGCUAGCAGAGAAAAGAAGUGGAGGGAGAGCAGGCCUGCAGCUGGCCGCAGACAUAGCCAGCCUCCAGAACCGCAUUGACUGGGGUCGAAGCCAGCUCCGGGGACUCCAAGAAAAACUCAAGCAGCUGGAGCCUGGGGCUGCCUGACAUGCGUGCACAGAGGCAGGGCAGCGAGCACAGCUGUUCUCCGACAUGGCUAGUUGAUCUCAGGCCUUCUUCCUUCACAAAUAGCUCUUGCCCCUACCCCAUGCCAGCUGAUGCCCCGUCUGUGUCCCUGUUCUGCAUGUUUCCAUCUUCCUUAGGUGUGACGUUUGAAGAGGCAAACAGUAAUUUUGAAAGCCACUACUUUGAAACCAUUCCAAGGCCUGAGUUCCCAUAGGACACACUCACAUAGGCAGGUACACGUUAGUCAACAAUUGGAACUGCCUCUUGGAUCACUCAGCUGUGCUUUCAUGGCUGGAUGACGGAACACUGUACGAAGAGAGAUGGGUGGGGACAGGAAGUAGCGCUUCAUACUUAGUACAUCCUCCAAAUUGUCUUUGCUGGAGGAGAAAACCGUACUCAGCCGAAAGAUCAGGACAAUGACUUGAGUCCACAAGGACACAAACACAUGAGUAGCUGGGCAGCCCUUGGCAGGGUCUAAGCCAGGAAGUAAAAACCAUCUGGUCUAGAUUUUUAAGGGAACUCUAGGAAGAGACCUAGGUUUUUAAAAUCCUGUCUCUUUGUCUUGCCAUAAGAGGCUGAGCCUCUCUUCAUUUUUUUGAAGGGCCACUUGUGUUUUCUGUUCUGGGAACUUCCUUCAUUUUUCUACUGGGUUGUUGAUCUUUGCAAUAAUUUCUAGGAGCUGUUUAUGUUUGGAGGUAAUUGGUCCUUUGUCCAUAUAUAUGAGAUGUAAGUCUUAUUUUCCAGUUUAUCUUUUUGCUUAUGAUUUUUUUGACUUUUUAUUGUAAAAUAAAACAUUACAUCAGACUGCACAGAACAGUUGAAUAGCUUAAUGAAUAACUACAGUAAAAGCUAUGGUAACCACU